rnacentral:rRNA from 1 species
UACGUAGGAGGCGAGCGUUGUCCGGAUUUACUGGGCGUAAAGCGCGCGCAGGCGGUCGUUCAAGUCGCGUGUGAAAGCCCCCGGCUCAACUGGGGAGGGUCACGCGAUACUGAUCGACUCGAAGGCAGGAGAGGGAAGUGGAAUUCCCGGUGUAGUGGUGAAAUGCGUAGAUAUCGGGAGGAACACCAGUGGCGAAGGCGACUUCCUGGCCUGUUCUUGACGCUGAGGCGCGAAAGCUAGGGGAGCAAACGGG